AUUGAACGCUGGCGGCAUGCCUUACACAUGCAAGUCGAACGGUAACAGGUCUUCGGAUGCUGACGAGUGGCGAACGGGUGAGUAAUACAUCGGAACGUGCCUAGUAGUGGGGGAUAACAACUCGAAAGAGUGGCGAAUACCGCAUGAGGUCUAAGGAUGAAAGAGGGGGAUGGCAAGACCUUGUGCUAGUAAGUCGGGGGAUGGCAGAUUAGGUAGUUGGUGGGAUGAAAGCUUACCAAGCCGACGGAUCUGUAGCUGGUCUGAGAGGACGAUCAGCCACACUGGGACUGAGACACGGCCCAGACUCCUACGGGAGGCAGCAGUGGGGAAUUUUGGACAAUGGGCGAAAGCCUGAUCCAGCAAUGCCGCGUGCAGGAUGAAGGCCUUCGGGUUGUAAACUGCUUUUGUACGGAACGAAAAGCCCCGGGUUAAUACCCUGGGGUCAUGACGGUACCGUAAGAAUAAGCACCGGCUAACUACGUGCCAGCCGCCGCGGUAA
rnacentral:rRNA from 1 species